CCAUCACCCUCAGACUUAGGCAGUCCAAUACAGGUGCAGAGCUCUUAUUCUUUUAUAUAUCCAUUACCUUUUUGUGAAUUUCCUUAGCUGUAAUCAUCUAUUUCUGAAAACAGAAAAAAAAAAAAAGCAGUCUGGAGUGGGAAGAGGGCUCACUGGAGAACAAAACCUUCACAGCCCUUAACACAGUAAGUCUCUGGCCACAGGGCAAUGCAACUCUGGUUGCUAGAGGGUUUUUCUAAA
rnacentral:lncRNA from 1 species